rnacentral:rRNA from 1 species
UACAGAGGGGGCAAGCGUUAUUCGGAAUUAUUGGGCGUAAAGGGCGCGUAGGCGGCUUGGCAAGUGGAAGGUGAAAUCCCUCGGCUUAACCGAGGAACUGCCCUCCAAACUGCUUCGCUUGAGACCGGGAGAGGUGAGUGGAAUUCCCAGUGUAGCGGUGAAAUGCGUAGAUAUUGGGAGGAACACCAGUGGCGAAGGCGGCUCACUGGACCGGUACUGACGCUGAUGAGCGAAAGCGUGGGGAGCAAACGGG